rnacentral:lncRNA from 1 species
AUAUGGUUCUAAUGAUUUAGUUUCUACUGAUAUUUUAGUUUGAAUCUUUUUCAGUAUAAUUUUAGUUUCAAUGAGUUUUUCUUAUUUAGUUGAUAGAGCUCAUGGAGAGCUACUCUAGAGCUAAUGGAGAGCUACUGGUGAGCUACUUCAGAAUGACUGGAGAGCUACUCCAUAGCUUCUGGAGAGCUACUCCAUAGUUACUCCAGAGCUACUGGCGAGCUACUCCAGAACUACGGAGAGCUGUUGGAGAGCUUGAUGGGGGUGAAACCCGACCAGUACUCCAAGACGCGCAAGCAAGCGCCAAGCGGGGAACUCCGCGGGAAACCGGACCGGAACUCAAGUGCACAGAGCUCUGCUUCGCUAGGAAUCCUUUCGCUCCAAAUAACCUGCCUUUAAUGAGUGGGG